GAUGAACGCUGGCGGCGUGCUUAACACAUGCAAGUCGAACGAGAAAUGUAGACGGAAACCUUCGGGCGGAAGCCUUCAUUUCGAGUGGCGGACGGGUGAGUAACGCGUGGGUAACCUGCCUCAUACAGGGGGAUAACAGUUGGAAACGACUGUUAAUACCGCAUAAGACCACAGCAUCGCAUGAUGCGGGGGUAAAAACUCCGGUGGUAUGAGAUGGACCCGCGUUCGAUUAGCCAGUUGGCGGGGUAACGGCCCACCAAAGCGACGAUCGAUAGCCGAUCUGAGAGGAUGACCGGCCACAUUGGGACUGAGACACGGCCCAAACUCCUACGGGAGGCAGCAGUGGGGAAUAUUGCACAAUGGGGGAAACCCUGAUGCAGCGACGCCGCGUGAGUGAAGAAGUACUUCGGUAUGUAAAGCUCUAUCAGCAGGGAAGAAAAUGACGGUACCUGAGGAAGAAGCCCCGGCUAAGUACGUG
rnacentral:rRNA from 1 species